UCUAAAUGUGCACACUUUAAAAUAGAAACAUUUACCCAACGUGCUGAUUAGCAAUUUCCCAGUUCCAAAGGCCCAAUUGCAUUUAAGAUGCAAAAGAUUAAAGUGCCUAAACAGAUAAAGUUAAUAGUUCAUCUUCCUAAAUGCUUUUGUAUGCUCUAAGUCUUACAUUUCCUUCCAACUCUGUAUACUCAAGGGCUAGAGCUACUUUGAUGUGGAUUUGUGUUUUACCCACAUGCUGUUGUUGGAACGGAAUCUGACUGCAUCUCAGACACCCAGAGACAUGUUCUGCACAUGAGCGGAGGCCAUGUGGCCCCUGUUAUUUCACACUGUAUGUGCAAGUUUUAGGGGGAAAGUACACUGUUUUUCUACCAUGUGUUACACAUAUUCAACUUUCAUUUUGGCUAAAAAUCAUCUCAGCUGCUAAUAUUUGGUCUCUGGGUGAUUUUGCUUCUCUCCUGCAUAAAAAUUGGUUAAGAUGGCAUUGAUUGGAAAAUGCAAUCCCCAAGGGACGCCUUAUUUGCUGGCCCAUGCGGCAUCUCCAUCUCUGUAGGUAGAACGGAAUUUGUAAAUGCCUCUAGUCCUUUAGGACAUGUGGGCCAUUGCCAGUUCAAAAGUUCAUAUGAUACCAUAUGUCCUAAUAAUUUUUAUCUACAUCUAAAACAAUACAGGACUGUCAAAUAAAAUCCUACAUGCAAACAAAUGAUGGAAUGCAGGGGGACCCUCGGCUCUAGCCUUUUCUUCUUUGUCCGACAAGCUAAUGCAAUAAGGCCAAUAAUAAAAGGUUGUGCACUAGGCCUAAAGCCUGUGACUGAUAAAAAAGAAAUGUUGGAAACCGAUGAAGCUUUUGCACAAUUAGAUUUUUUGAGGCUGUGCUGUAAGGAUUGCCCAGAGCCUGUUCAGUCCUGAUUGAUGGUAAAAUCAUAACUACAUCAUAUUAGCUGUAGAGUUCACUGACAGGUUACUACAGAUUAAUAUUGCCACUGCUGUUCACUUACCAUCAAACCAGGGGAAAUAUGAAUUGAGCCGUUCUUCUAACAAACCCUGAAUAUUAAAAGGUAAGGUGUUCUACCGAACAAUCUCCCCGUGCCACUAGGGAACGACACAAACAAUGUCUAUUUGAGAGAUAUGCAGAUACACUACAGCAUACUAAUUAGUUCUCUGCUAGGAGAGUCCCAUCACAUCCGGCUGGCUAAUGACCCUUCAUGUGAGCUUGUUCCUCCAGAGCUCUUGGCUACAGGAUUUCAAACGACACCCUAAAACAGGGAGCUGCAAUCUUGGUGAUUUAAAUGCCAGCUGCCAGGCAAAUUGCAGCAACAUAAAUUUGGCCCAUGUGUUUUGCAUCGUGUGAAUAUGAAACAGGGGACAUCAAGGAACUGAGUUUUGCUUGCUUUGGACUCUAGGGGUUUGGAGUGAGUUAUUUUCAGAGAUGGUUAUCCAUUGUAUCAGGUGUGUGUGUGUGUGUGUGUGUGUGUGUGUGUGUGUGUGUAUGGGGGUCUCAUGCCACUUUUGCUUUACUUUAAAAGUCUUGAGAAUGGAAGAAAUAAACAUGUUGCUCUCCUAAUUCAAUCACGCUGAUAAUAAUGACAUUCUGAAAUGAAAGCAUUUGAUCUUUUUGUCAUCUCAAAUCUUGGAUAAGAAGUCAACUGUGAAAUAUAACCAGAGCCUGUGACUUGCAAAAGUCAUUCCUGAUGAGAGGCAGUCAGGAAGGAAGCACUUGAGGAAGAGAGGUCUUUUCACAUCCAGCCUGCUCUGAUAGUAAGAAUCCAGGCCUGGCAUCAGCAGGAGACCUGUGCUUUGGGCUCUGGACCGGUGCUUGUCCUGUCAUAACUCGGAAUGCUGGUGGCCCUUGGUGUUCAAAGCCCAGCAUCCCCAAGAAGCUGGCUGAAUACACAGUCUGGGCUUUACCUCACACAGUUCAGAGGGGAAGAUGAUGCACUGCCAGUCUCCAGGAGAAG